GACGAACGCUGGCGGCGUGCUUAACACAUGCAAGUCGAACGAUGAAGCGGUGCUUGCACCGUGGAUUAGUGGCGAACGGGUGAGUAACACGUGAGUAACCUGCCCUGGACUCUGGGAUAACCCCGAGAAAUCGGAGCUAAUACCGGAUAUGACUUCGCACCGCAUGGUGUGGGGUGGAAAGUUUUUUCGGUCUGGGAUGGACUCGCGGCCUAUCAGCUUGUUGGUGAGGUAAUGGCUCACCAAGGCGUCGACGGGUAGCCGGCCUGAGAGGGUGACCGGCCACACUGGGACUGAGACACGGUCCAGACUCCUACGGGAGGCAGCAGUGGGGAAUAUUGCACAAUGGGCGCAAGCCUGAUGCAGCAACGCCGCGUGAGGGAUGACGGCCUUCGGGUUGUAAACCUCUUUUAGUAAGGAAGAAGGGGAGCUUGCUCCUUGACGGUACUUGCAGAAAAAGGACCGGCUAACUACGUGCCAGCAGCCGCGGUAACAC
rnacentral:rRNA from 1 species